CUGGCCAAACCUCUGCUCUUUGUGCCUCUGCUGUGCCCCUGACACCACAGGCACAAGUAAUUUUGGGAAACUGAGGCUCAAGGGAGGAAAGAAGUCAGCUCAAGGCAGCGAGGAAAGUCUUUGGCAAGGUUGGCAACUUCUGAAAGAUCUUAUGAGCUUCUGCCAAGUGCCUUGAUUUCAUUCACGCUCUGUGUCUGCUUUGGUUUCAAACCCACGGUGCUCUCCACCAGAAGACAGUGACAUGACAGGAAUGGUGACACAAGGCUCUUACUGUUACAUUGAAUAAUUGAUUCUCCUGGAUGGAUUGUGACUCCCUAAAGGUUGCAAAGAGA